CACAUUUGGUUUCUCCCUAAUGAUAACAGAAUCAAGUCCUAUCCUAAGCUUUGCUUGCUCUAGAUCCUCCUUGUCUUUUCCUUCUCCAUCUUUCAGAUUUGGCUUUCUCUUUGGCUCUGCAGCCCCUACAGCAGAACCAUUUGAGGUGGCUGUACUCCCCACAUUAUCAAGAAUGGCCCGAAUUUCCUCUGCUCUCUUCAAGUAUCCCAUACAUUUUUGCCUAAUUGUUUUUCCAACUUGUUGAUUCUUCUCAUACUUCAAAUGAGUAUGGAAGUACUCUAAUGCAUUCAUGUAAAGCUGAAAAGCUUUAGCAUAGUUUCCGGCAUCAUCCUCCUUAACAGCCUGCCUAGCAUACUCAGUUCCAUGUUCCAGAAAAUUGCAAUACAUUUUGCACUCUCAACUAAUCCCUCUUCAACUCUGAGUUCU
rnacentral:misc_RNA from 1 species